UUGAAUUAAAUCAACGUGGGUCAUACACUUUGAAAAUGAAAUUCACAUAAUAUGGUGGGACAUACAUUGAUUUCACUCAA
rnacentral:pre_miRNA from 1 species